rnacentral:rRNA from 1 species
UACGUAGGGACCGAGCGUUGUCUGGAUUCAUUGGGCGUAAAGAGCUCGUAGGCGGCUGCUCAAGUCGAAUGUGAAAACUCGAGGCUCAACCUCGAGCCUGCAUUCGAUACUGGGCGGCUAGAGUCUGGUAGGGGGAUCUGGAAUUCCUGGUGUAGCGGUGGAAUGCGCAGAUAUCAGGAGGAACACCGGUGGCGAAGGCGGGAUCCUGGGCCAGUACUGACGCUGAGGAGCGAAAGCGUGGGGAGCGAACAGG